AUGCUGACUUUAGCAGCACAUAUAUUGAAAUUGAAAUGAUACAGAGAAGAUUAACAUGGCCCGUGUGCAAGGAUGACUCACAAAUUCAUGAAGCAUUCCAUAUUUUU